GAUGAACGCUGGCGGCGUGCCUAAUACAUGCAAGUCGAGCGAACAGACGAGGAGCUUGCUCCUCUGACGUUAGCGGCGGACGGGUGAGUAACACGUGGAUAACCUACCUAUAAGACUGGGAUAACUUCGGGAAACCGGAGCUAAUACCGGAUAAUAUAUUGAACCGCAUGGUUCAAUAGUGAAAGACGGUUUUGCUGUCACUUAUAGAUGGAUCCGCGCCGCAUUAGCUAGUUGGUAAGGUAACGGCUUACCAAGGCAACGAUGCGUAGCCGACCUGAGAGGGUGAUCGGGCACACUGGAACUGAGACACGGUCCAGACUCCUACGGGAGGCAGCAGUAGGGAAUCGUCCGCAAUGGGCGAAAGCCUGACGGAGCAACGCCGCGUGAGUGAUGAAGGUCUUCGGAUCGUAAAACUCUGUUAUUAGGGAAGAACAAAUGUGUAAGUAACUAUGCACGUCUUGACGGUACCUAAUCAGAAAGCCACGGCUAACUACGU
rnacentral:rRNA from 1 species